CAAUAGCGUAUAUUAAAGUUGUUGCAGUUAAAAAGCUCGUAGUUGGAUUUGUGGCGUACGGUGUGUUCCGGGCACUUGUUGUCUGAGUAACCUGCUGUUGCCAUCCUUGGGUGGAACCUGUGUGGCAUUAGGUUGUCGUGCAGGGGAUGCCCAUCAUUUACUGUGAAAAAAUUAGAGUGUUCAAAGCAGGCUUAUGCCGUCGAAUAUAUUAGCAUGGAAUAAUGAGAUAGGACUUUUUUGCUAUUUUGUUGGUUUGCGCAAAGAGGUAAUGAUUAAUAGGGACAGUUGGGGGUAUUCGUAUUCCAUUGUCAGAGGUGAAAUUCUUGGAUUUUUGGAAGACGAACUACUGCGAAAGCAUUUACCAAGGAUGUUUUCAUUAA
rnacentral:rRNA from 1 species